rnacentral:tRNA from 1 species
GUAGGACGUAGCACUAGGCUAAGGCAUGAGUCUGCAAAACUUCUAUUCGUCGGUUCGAAUCCGACCGGUUCCU